rnacentral:misc_RNA from 1 species
AACACUGUUAACCUGCGGUACCUGCGGAAGGAUCAUUAGUGAAUUUGUUUUGUGGUUGGGGUAUCUUGCCAAUUUACAAGAUAUCCACCCAAACACCCCCACUAUUAUCACGCCGGCUGAGAGAGCAAUUUUUUCAGUCGAGAGCCUAGUAAGCUCGGAAAUUUGAAGGUUUAAGGGACUUUUUUGUCCUUUGACCUUUGUUUUUUAGAACCAUAUAGUCAUGUAUGUUAAGUAGUAUUC